rnacentral:rRNA from 1 species
AGCGAACGCUGGCGGCAGGCCUAACACAUGCAAGUCGAACGGACCCUUCGGGGUUAGUGGCGGACGGGUGAGUAACACGUGGGAACGUGCCUUUAGGUUCGGAAUAGCUCCUGGAAACGGGUGGUAAUGCCGAAUGUGCCCUUCGGGGGAAAGAUUUAUCGCCUUUAGAGCGGCCCGCGUCUGAUUAGCUAGUUGGUGGUGUAACGGACCACCAAGGCGACGAUCAGUAGCUGGUCGGAGAGGAUGAUCAGCCAAAUUGGGACUGAGACACGGCCCAAACUCCUACGGGAGGCAGCAGUGGGGAAUCUUGCGCAAUGGGCGAAAGCCUGACGCAGCCAUGCCGCGUGAAUGAUGAAGGUCUUAGGAUUGUAAAAUUCUUUCACCGGGGACGAUAAUGACGGUACCCGGAGAAGAAGCCCCGGCUAACUUCGUGCCAGCCGCCGCCGUAAUAC